GUGCCCUAUAGGUCGCCUUUUUCGGCAGCCUCUCCGGUCUGGGAGUCAUUCCUCUCACUGAGAGUGUUCUCUCGUUUGUGAGUCGCAUUGUUUGUAGCGUUCUGUGUAGCGUCCGUCUCUGUGUGUGUGGUGUGUGUGUGGAGCUGCUCUGCCCAGGGCUGUCGAGUUGGGGAUAGGCGGAAUAGCAAUAGGAGCAUACGGUUAGCGUGCCGAUACGGCCCGUCCGGAAUUGUUUGGCUCUCACUCGGCAUCUGGGUGACUUGUUUGAUAACUCGGUGUGAUUUUUCCAGAUGCGGACUGGCUAGAUGCCCACUGAAGAGCGGCAGAGGAGGAGAGCAGAGUGCCGUAAGAAGGUGGCGGUCAGGCCUCGGCACGGCAGGCCGAAGAAUCCGACUCCGAGCGGCCGAGGAAAAGGGACGGGCGAGAGGAAGGCGUUUCCAAGGAGGGCUUCGUCGCAGCGGAGGUCGACGCCGGGCGGCACGUCGGCGCCCGGCGACGCUCUGUCUCGUGAGGGAUGAAGCGGAACCGGCGGAUGGGGGAGCGUCCCGGUUAGAUGACCUUUUCCCCAUGAGAAGGGAAUCUGGAUUCUGCCCUCUGAAAGGCAGGGAAUCAGAGUAGCUAUCCAGGUGACUGCAAGCUGCACGUGUUUGGCCAGGGGUUGGAAUCAGAGGAUCCAGAUUCCAUUGUAGUAGAAAGCUCUGGAACGAGAAAAAUGUUAAGCGAAGCAGGAGAGAUUGACUGUCAAUGUGC